rnacentral:rRNA from 1 species
CCUACGGGAGGCAGCAGUGAGGAAUAUUGGUCAAUGGGCGGAAGCCUGAACCAGCCAAGUCGCGUGAGGGAAUAAGGCCCUACGGGUCGUAAACCUCUUUUGCCGGGGAGCAAGGGCGGGGACGUGUCCCGUCCCGGAGAGUACCCGGAGAAAAAGCAUCGGCUAACUCCGUGCCAGCAGCCGCGGUAAUACGGAGGAUGCGAUCGUUAUCCGGAUUUAUUGGGUUUAAAGGGUGCGUAGGCGGGCGUUUAAGUCAGCGGUAAAAAUUCGGGGCUCAACCCCGUCCGGCCGUUGAAACUGGGGGCCUUGAGUGGGCGAGAAGAAGGCGGAAUGCGUGGUGUAGCGGUGAAAUGCAUAGAUAUCACGCAGAACCCCGAUUGCGAAGGCAGCCUUCCGGCGCCCUACUGACGCUGAGGCACGAAAGUGCGGGGAUCGAACAGGAUUAGAUACCCGAGUAGUC